GACGAACGCUGGCGGCGUGCUUAACACAUGCAAGUCGAACGGUGAAGCGCUUGCCUUUUUGGUGGGUGUGGAUGAGUGGCGAACGGGUGAGUAACACGUGGGUAACCUGCCCUCUUCUUCUGGAUAACCUCAUGAAAGUGGGGCUAAUACGGGGUAUUCCGGGUCUGUCGCAUGGCGGGUUUGGGAAAGAUUGCGCCUUUGGGUGUUUUCGGUGGGGGAUGGGCUCGCGGCCUAUCAGCUUGUUGGUGGGGUGAUGGCCUACCAAGGCGGUGACGGGUAGCCGGCCUGAGAGGGUGGACGGCCACACUGGGACUGAGACACGGCCCAGACUCCUGCGGGAGGCAGCAGUGGGGAAUAUUGCACAAUGGGCGCAAGCCUGAUGCAGCGACGCCGCGUGAGGGAUGGAGACCUUCGGGUUGUGAACCUCUUUCGCCAGUGAAGCAGGCCUGCUCCUGUGUGGGUGGGUUGACGGUAGCUGGAUAAGAAGCGCCGGCUAACUACGUGCCAGCAGCCGCGGUAAUACGUAGGGCGCGAGCGUUGUCCGGAAUUAUUGGGCGUAAAGCGAGCGCAGGCGGUUAGAUAAGUCUGAAGUUAAAGGCUGUGGCUUAACCAUAGUACGCUUUGGAAACUGUUUAACUUGAGUGCAAGAGGGGAGAGUGGAAUUCCAUGUGUAGCGGUGAAAUGCGUAGAUAUAUGGAGGAACACCGAUGGCGAAGGCAGCCUCCUGGGAUAACACUGACGUUCAUGCCCGAAAGCGUGGGUAGCAAACAGGAUUAGAUACCCUGGUAGUCCACGCCCUAAACGAUGUCGAUUAGCUGUUGGGCAGCUUGACUGCUUAGUAGCGAAGCUAACGCGUGAAAUCGACCGCCUGGGGAGUACGGUCGCAAGAUUAAAACUCAAAGGAAUUGACGGGGACCCGCACAAGCGGUGGAUGAUGUGGAUUAAUUCGAUGCAACGCGAAGAACCUUACCUGGUCUUGACAUGUACGGAACCCUCCAGAGACGGAGGGGUGCCUUCGGGAGCCGUAACACAGGUGCUGCAUGGCUGUCGUCAGCUCGUGUCGUGAGAUGUUGGGUUAAGUCCCGCAACGAGCGCAACCCUUGUCAUUAGUUGCCAUCAUUAAGUUGGGCACUCUAAUGAGACUGCCGGUGACAAGCCGGAGGAAGGUGGGGAUGACGUCAAGUCCUCAUGGCCCUUAUGACCAGGGCUUCACACGUCAUACAAUGGUCGGUACAGAGGGUAGCCAAGCCGCGAGGCGGAGCCAAUCUCACAAAACCGAUCGUAGUCCGGAUUGCACUCUGCAACUCGAGUGCAUGAAGUCGGAAUCGCUAGUAAUCGCAGGUCAGCAUACUGCGGUGAAUACGUUCCCGGGUCU
rnacentral:rRNA from 1 species